rnacentral:rRNA from 1 species
UACGUAGGGGGCAAGCGUUGUCCGGAUUUAUUGGGCGUAAAGAGCGUGUAGGCGGCCAAGCAGGUCAGCUGUGAAAACUCGAGGCUCAACCUCGAGACGUCGGUUGAAACCGCUUGGCUAGAGUCCGGAAGAGGAGAGUGGAAUUCCCGGUGUAGCGGUGAAAUGCGCAGAUAUCGGGGAAGAACACCCGUGGCGAAGGCGGCUCUCUGGGACGGUACUGACGCUGAGACGCGAAAGCGUGGGGAGCGAACAGG